GUGAAGCCUCUCACCUCCCAACUCAUAAUCUCUAGCUCUUCUGAUCUUGUUCAGAAAUAGGAAAAUGGCGGGUCUAUUUGACAAGCAGGCAGAGAUAUAUGUGGAAGCUCGGCCAACAUAUCCAAAGGAAUGGUACUCAAAGCUGGCUGCUCUCACCCCACAACACUCUUUAGCUUGGGAUGCUGGCACCGGCAAUGGCCAAGCUGCUCUUGGUAAAAUCCUUUGAAAUACCUUCACACAUGCUGCAGCCUCUGUUGAAGCAUCAGCAGUAACAGGAGGAGCAACUUCCACAUCAUAUUCGUAGUCACUGUCUACAUCCUGCAGUAAAAUUCAACUUCACUCAGAAAUAAGAAAAUGUAUUUGGUGAACAUCAAUAACUGUAAGUAUUUACAGAUCUUUUACAGGCAAUAUACUUCAUCAGGAUCAGAUCUUUUACAUUUAUAUGGCAUGCACUAAACUCUGGGACCAGAAACUUCAGCAAGAUUGAUAGAUCUCCAUGAACAUCAUUAUAUUCCAAGUUUCUCUAUGGAAGCGGACAGAAUUACAAAUUUAUCAGGAAAACUCUUGUGUGAGAAAUACAGUUAUAUCAUUUGGAAUUUUGGAUUCAAAACAAAUAGGUUAAGAACAAAGCAUCACCAAAAUUCAAAACGCCCAAAAUCAAACACCAUCGAACAAUUACUAAGCACCAAGUCACAAAAUAUACCAUGUCUAUCUCUCUCCUGCUCCGACCCCCCAAACAAACAUCAUAAGAUCAUGUGAUCAAACUAAAAUCAAGAAUUGCUGGGGGAACACACCAGGAACAUUAUAACAUUAUAAACACACCAGAAUUGCUUGUUAGAAUUUAUCAUUUAAAUUCUAACAAACAGGCUGAGAAAAAAAUAAUACAUCAUGUUUACUAAAAAAUAGAAAUGUCCUCAUCUGUCAAAAGCCUCACCAAAAUCGAAAACCAUCGAACAAUUACUAAGCACCAAGUCACAAAUAUACCAAGAAUCAUUAUUUGAUCACAUAAACUCAUGUAACCUAUAUAUACCAAAACAAACAAAAAUUCAAUAACGAAAGAAACAAUAGAGAACUGCUGGGGGGAACACACACCAUAAGAGCUUCUCCGUCGUCAAAUUUGUCAGGCAAAGGCUCCCUAUAAGCCAGAUGUCGCCAAAGCAUCUGAUACUCUCUAGCAUUUGUGAUCCCAGUCGUAGUCUUGGCCACCAACUCAUCAUAGUUGAUCUUCUCCGACUGCAUCAAGUGUGCCACUUCCUGCAGCAAUGCCAGUAUCGUCGCCGCCGAGUACCUGCCAAACCAAAACCCAUUAAAACCCCAAGAAAUCCAAAACCCGUAUACCAAG